AAGUUAUUGUGAUCAUUGCAAAGUCCUUGAACUGACUGUACCAUGGAUUACACCGUAGUCAAGCCAUGGUGACCAUUGUGACUUGCACAUACAACUCCAGAUGGCCUGGAACCAGAAAGUCUGAGGUAGCUAGAAAACUUCAAAAGGAGAAUAGCUAGCUCCUGCAGUGCCUGAUUAACCAAGCUUGCAACAUUUUGCCAUUGUUCCUGCCUCAACUGAUAAGCCAACCUUGUGACACUGAGCCUUGGACCUUUUGGCACCUCCCACCAGUGGAACCCCCCGACCCCAGCUUGCAGAAACCACCCUGAACUCUAACUUCUGUAAUUUUCCACUGCCUACCCCAAACCUAUGCAACCAACUCCUAUCCCACUACCCUCCACUGACUCUCUUUUUGGACUCAGCCUACUAAUACCCAGGUGAAUAAUUUCUUCAUUCAGAGAAUGCCUAACAUUUGGUGCUGAAACCCAGGACAGGGGUAUUCCCUGGGGAGACCAGCCCCCUGUCCCCACUCUUCCUGUGAAGAGAUCCACCUGCGAACUCAGCGCAUCAGACCAGCCUGAAAACCUUCUCGUCACCUUCAGAUCAGGGCCUCCAUUAAAAGUCAGACUGCCCAACUCACGUCACUGCUCCCAGAGUUACUGGAGCUCCCAGACCAAAUUCUUCCCAGUCUCCUCAGCUUGGUGGCUGAAGACUGAUGCUGCCUGAACAUCUUGGAGGGCCCCUGGACCAUCAUGGACACUGAACUUCAGGUACCUCUUAUGGUGGAAGAUUGCUACAAAGAAGAACUGAUGCCAGCAACACUGAAACUGUUCCAAAAAAUCAAGGAGAAGGAAUUUAUCCCUAACUCAUUCUACAAGGUCAGCAUCAUUAUGAUAUGAAAUUCAGGCAGAUAUAUACAUAUAUUAUAUAUAAUUUUAUAUAUAAAUAUUAUAUAUAUAAUAUAUGUAGAUUAUGUAUAAUUUUAUAUAUAAAUAUUAUAUAUAAUAUAUAGAGAUUAUAUAUAAUUGUAUAUAUAAA
rnacentral:lncRNA from 1 species